rnacentral:rRNA from 1 species
GAUGAACGCUGGCGGCGUGCCUAAUACAUGCAAGUCGAGCGAACAGACGAGGAGCUUGCUCCUCUGACGUUAGCGGCGGACGGGUGAGUAACACGUGGAUAACCUACCUAUAAGACUGGGAUAACUUCGGGAAACCGGAGCUAAUACCGGAUAAUAUAUUGAACCGCAUGGUUCAAUAGUGAAAGACGGUUUUGCUGUCACUUAUAGAUGGAUCCGCGCCGCAUUAGCUAGUUGGUAAGGUAACGGCUUACCAAGGCAACGAUGCGUAGCCUACCUGAGAGGGUGAUCGGCCACACUGGAACUGAGACACGGUCCAGACUCCUACGGGAGGCAGCAGUAGGGAAUCUUCCGCAAUGGGCGAAAGCUUGACGGAGCAACGCCGCGUGAGUGAUGAAGGUCUUCGGAUCGUAAAACUCUGUUAUUAGGGAAGAACAAAUGUGUAAGUAACUAUGCACGUCUUGACGGUACCUAAUCAGAAAGCCACGGCUAACUACGU